AUACGGAGGAUCCGAGCGUUAUCCGGAUUUAUUGGGUUUAAAGGGUGCGCAGGCGGCCAUUUAAGUCAGCGGUUAAAUCGUGGGGCUCAACCCCAUUCUGCCGUUGAUACUGGGUGGCUUGAUUGCGGUCGAGGUUGGCGGAAUUCGUUGUGUAGCGGUGAAAUGCAUAGAUAUCACGAAGAACUCCGAUUGCGAAGGCAGCCUGCUGGACUGUAACUGACGCUGAUGCUCGAAAGUGUGGGUAUCAAACAGGAUUAGAUACCCUGGUAGUCCACACAGUAAACGAUGAAUACUCGCUGUUUGCGAUAUACAGUAAGCGGCCAAGCGAAAGCGUUAAGUAUUCCACCUGGGGAGUACGCCGGCAACGGUGAAACUCAAAUGAAUUGACGGGG
rnacentral:rRNA from 1 species